rnacentral:rRNA from 1 species
UACGUAGGAGGCAAACGUUGCUCGGAUUUACUGGGCGUAAAGGGUGAGUAGGCGGAACUAUAAGUCUAAGGUGAAAUAUCGAAGCUCAACUUCGGAGACGCCUUGGAUACUGUGGUUCUUGGAUAUUGUAGGGGAUGAUGGAAUUCUCGGUGUAGCGGUGGAAUGUAUAGAUAUCGAGAAGAACACCUAUAGCGAAGGCAGUCAUCUGGGCAUUUAUCGACGCUGAAUCACGAAAGCUGGGGGAGCAAAC